rnacentral:misc_RNA from 1 species
GUGAGACCCGACAUGAAAUCCCAGCUCGAAGCCCAGAUGCCGUAGAUGACGCAGACGGUCAGCACGCCGGUGAGAUAGUUGCUGGAGAUCAGAACAGGCGCAAGGGCGAGGAUGGCGAUGACGGCAAUUCCGCCGGCGAUGUCGAUCGGUGAAAUCUGCCGCAUGUCAGAACGCCGCCCGCCGUCCGAGAAUUCCGGACGGUCUGAUCAUGAGGGUGAUGACGACCGCGACCAGCGAGACCAGUUCGGUCCAGGAUGUCGAUAUCAGAUAGGCCACGAUGGUUUCCGAAUAACCGAGGAUCAGCGAAGCGAUGAUGCUGCCGGGGAUCGAGCCCAGUCCGCCGACGAUGACGAUAGCGAACGCCUUCACCAUCGGCAGCAGGCCCAUGGUCGGCUGCACCGUGAGAAACGGCGAGACCAGUACGCCCGCGAACGCCGCGGUGCCUGCCGAGAUUGCCAUCACAAUGGAGAAGAUGCGGUUGGUCGGUAUGCCCAUGUACUGGGCUGCUUCCGGGUCCUGCGACACCGCGAGAAUGGCCGCGCCG